rnacentral:rRNA from 1 species
UACGUAGGGGGCAAGCGUUGUCCGGAUUUAUUGGGCGUAAAGAGCGUGUAGGCGGUUUGGUAGGUCCGUUGUGAAAACUCGAGGCUCAACCUCGAGACGUCGGUUGAAACCGUUUGGCUAGAGUCCGGAAGAGGAGAGUGGAAUUCCCGGUGUAGCGGUGAAAUGCGCAGAUAUCGGGAAGAACACCCGUGGCGAAGGCGGCUCUCUGGGACGGUACUGACGCUGAGACGCGAAAGCGUGGGGAGCGAACAGG